AUUGAACGCUGGCGGCAGGCCUAACACAUGCAAGUCGAACGAGUGGCGGACGGGUGAGUAAUGUCUGGGAAACUGCCUGAUGGAGGGGGAUAACUACUGGAAACGGUAGCUAAUACCGCAUACCAUCGGAUGUUCCCAGAUGGGAUUAGCUAGUAGGUGGGGUAAAGGCUCACCUAGGCGACGAUCCCUAGCUGGUCUGAGAGGAUGACCAGCAACACGGGAACGGAGACACGGUCCAGACGCCGACGGGAGGAAGCAGUGGGGAAUAUGGCACAAUGGGCGCAAGCCUGAUGCAGCCAUGCAGCGUGUAUGAAGAAGGCCUUCGGGGUGUAAAGUACUUUCAGCGGGGAGGCGUUACCCGCAGAAGAAGCACCGGCUAACUCCGUGCCAGCAGCCGCGGUAAUAC
rnacentral:rRNA from 1 species